UACGGAGGGUGCAAGCGUUAUCCGGAUUCACUGGGUUUAAAGGGAGCGUAGGUGGCUUUGUAAGUCAGUGGUGAAAUGUCGCGGCUCAACCGCGAAACUGCCAUUGAUACUGCUUAGCUUGAAUCACGUCGAGGUGGAUGGAAUAUUACAUGUAGCGGUGAAAUGCUUAGAUAUGUAAUAGAACACCGAUUGCGAAGGCAGCUCACUAGGCGUGUAUUGACACUGAGGCUCGAAAGCGUGGGGAUCAAACAGG
rnacentral:rRNA from 1 species